AACGAACGCUGGCGGCAUGCCUAACACAUGCAAGUCGAACGAAACCUUCGGGUCUAGUGGCGCACGGGUGCGUAACGCGUGGGAACAUGCCCUUAGGUUCGGAAUAACUCCCCGAAAGGGGUGCUAAUACCGGAUAAUGUCUUCGGACCAAAGAUUUAUCGCCUUUGGAUGGGCCCGCGUUGGAUUAGCUAGUUGGUAGGGUAAAAGCCUACCAAGGCGACGAUCCAUAGCUGGUCUGAGGGGCUGAUUUGCCACACUGGGACUGAGACACGGCCCAGACUCCUACGGGAGGCAGCAGUGGGGAAUAUUGGAGAAUGGGCGAAGUCCUGAUCCAGCAAGGCCGCGUGAGUGAUGAAGGCCUUAGGGUUGUAAAGCUCUUUUACCCGGGAUGGUAAUGACGGUACCGGGAGAAUAAGCACCGGCUAACUCCGUG
rnacentral:rRNA from 1 species